AUUGUAGAACUACCAUGACUUCUAAUGCUCUAUACAUGGCAGUACAUUCCACAUCUCGCUUCCUCGUUUGGACCUCUUGGAGCUGCUUCUUAGUACGGUGGUGGAGGAUAGAGCCCAGGAAAAGGACCUGGAGGAUAAUAGGGUGAAGCAUGUGGGGGUGGUGGAUAUGGAGGUGGAGGAUAAGUUGAAGGUGAUGGGUAUGUUGGAGGGGGAUAUGCAGUUGGUGGAGGAGGGUAUGCAGAUGGUGGAUAUGCUGAAUUAGGUGGGUAUGAGGGAUAAGGAGAUGGAGUUGUGUAUGCUGUAGCUGGUUGCACAUAAGAAGCUCCAGAUGCUCGGGGUGGCUCUGAGUACAUGGAGACAUGAGGUACAGGUGCUGUGUACAGUGGAGCAGAUGGAGUAAAGCUUGUUGCUGGCUUCCUGGCAUUUGCAUAAUGCAAUAUGAGCCUCACUUCUCCAGCGCAUCUGCCAGUUUUAGUCUGAAGUGGCCAAGUGCUAUCAUCAUAACCCUCUGAUAGAACCUUCAGCAAUUGAACCUUUCCACUGCCAAUGAAAUCAUCAUAUGUUAAGGUAUUGCUGUUCCAAACCGCGACAUUCAUCUCUCUUAGCCCUUCAAUUAAAGUAAAUACAAACUUCUCUUGGAAUGUAGGAUUUUUGCCACCAUCUGUACAGGUUCUUGUGCGGGAUUUAUUACUACCAUAUUCAACAAUAGCAUAAGGAUCUUGCCUAGAAAUCCAUUCUGUAUCUUUCAAUUUAUUACAACAAACAACGGUAACUUCAAGAAGAUGGCCUUGAAUACCAGAAACGGACAUAGUAGUAGAUGGGUAAGGAGAAGAAGACCGCUGAUUUGAAAAUGAAUACAUCAUCCCCUCAGUAAUCUUCUAUUAUAUAUAUAUAUAAAAGACAAAAGGUCUGGCCUUUUUAAUAUUGC
rnacentral:misc_RNA from 1 species